GUGGGGACAGGGAAGUUCAUUGUGGAGGUUACUAGCUGAGUGUUGAUCAGUCAUCUAAUCCCCUCGGGAAAGGUCUGAGACAAGAGCCAAUCUCCGUCUUCACAGGACAUCAUCUGAACAGGUGAGCGAGCGCACAGGAAAGAUGGGUCAGAAUGCGGCGUUCACGCACAAGACGGUGGAACGCAGCAAAGCGAACCAACUGAUGAGAACUCCGUUACCUUGGAAACACUCGCGGCUGGCCAAUGAGUUCAGUGUGUGAACUGGCACAAGAUGCUAGAACCCAAUUCAGACUACUCUCCUACCAC
rnacentral:RNase_P_RNA from 1 species